GGCUUAACACAUGCAAGUCGAGGGGUAACAGGGAUUGCUUGCAAUCCGCUGACGACCGGCGCACGGGUGCGUAACGCGUAUGCAACCUACCUUCUACAGGGGGAUAGUCAAUAGAAAUGUUGAAUAAUACCCCAUACGAUCUUUGAAUAGCAUUAUUUAAAGAAGAAAGUUCCGGCGGUAGAAGAUGGGCAUGCGUCCUAUUAGUUAGUUGGAGAGGUAACGGCUCCCCAAGACAUCGAUAGGUAGGGGUCCUGAGAGGGAGACCCCCCACACUGGUACUGAGACACGGACCAGACUCCUACGGGAGGCAGCAGUGAGGAAUAUUGGACAAUGGAGGCAACUCUGAUCCAGCCAUGCCGCGUGCAGGAAGACUGCCCUAUGGGUUGUAAACUGCUUUUAUACAGGAAGAAAUGUACCUACGUGUAGGUAUUUGACGGUACUGUACGAAUAAGGAUCGGCUAACUCCGUGCCAGCAGCCGCGGUAAUACGGAGGAUCCAAGCGUUAUCCGGAAUCAUUGGGUUUAAAGGGUCCGUAGGCGGUCUUUUAAGUCAGAGGUGAAAUCCUACAGCUCAACUGUAGAAUUGCCUUUGAUACUGAAGGACUUGAGUUAUUGUGAAGUAGUUAGAAUGUGUGGUGUAGCGGUGAAAUGCAUAGAGAUCACACAGAAUACCGAUUGCGAAGGCAGAUUACUAACAAUAUACUGACGCUGAGGGACGAAAGCGUGGGUAGCGAACAGGAUUAGAUACCCUGGUAGUCCACGCCGUAAACGAUGGAUACUAGCUGUUCGACCAACAUUGGUUGGUUGAGUGGCUAAGCGAAAGUGAUAAGUAUCCCACCUGGGGAGUA
rnacentral:rRNA from 1 species